rnacentral:rRNA from 1 species
GCGUUUCAUUAGCUAGUUGGUGGGGUAACGGCCUACCAAGGCGACGAUGAAUAGCUGGUCUGAGAGGAUGACCAGCCACACUGGGACUGGAACACGGCCCAGACUCCUACGGGAGGCAGCAGUGGGGAAUAUUGCGCAAUGGGGGAAACCCUGACGCAGCGACGCCAUGUGAGGGACGAAGGCUUUCGGGUCGUAAACCUCUGUCAGGAGGGAAGAAACUGUUUGAGGCUAAUACCCUCUUUCACUGACGGUACCUCCAGAGGAAGCACCGGCUAACUCCGUGCCAGCAGCCGCGGUAAUACGGAGGGUGCGAGCGUUAAUCGGAAUCACUGGGCGUAAAGCGUACGUAGGCGGCCUUGUAAGUCAGAUGUGAAAGCCCUCGGCUCAACCGAGGAAUUGCAUUUGAUACUGCUUGGCUUGAGUAUCGGAGAGGGUGGCGGAAUUCCCGGUGUAGGAGUGAAAUCCGUAGAUAUCGGGAGGAACACCAGUGGCGAAGGCGGCCACCUGGACGAAUACUGACGCUGAGGUACGAAAGCGUGGGGAGCAAACAGGAUUAGAUACCCUGGUAGUCCACGCUGUAAACGAUGGACACUAGAUGCCGGGC